GUGAACCCUGGUGACACCACGGUGGCGUCCUGCGUCGUCGGCGUCGUCUUCUUCCUGCUGUACUUCUACGCGCCACACUGGGGUGUCAGGGACGUCCCGGCGCCGCCAGCCUUGCCCGUCGUGGGGCACCUGCCGCUGCUCGCCCGCCACGGCCCUGACGUCUUCUGCCUCCUCGCCAAGAAAUACGGCCCAAUCUUCCGGUUCCAUUUGGGGAGGCAGCCCCUGGUGAUCGUCGCUGACCCGGAGCUCUGCAGGGAGGUCGGCGUCCGGCAGUUCAAGAGCAUCCCCAACAGGAGCUUGCCGGCGCCCAUCGCCGGCUCCCCUCUCCACCAGAAGGGGCUCUUCUUCACUAGGGAUGAACGGUGGUCGGCGAUGAGGAACACGAUCAUCUCGCUGUACCAGCCGUCGCACCUCGCCUUCCUCAUCCCCACCAUGCAGCGCUGCAUCGAGCGCGCCGCGGACGCCAUCCCGGCGGCGGCGGCUCAGGAGCACGGCGACGUGGACCUCUCGGACCUCUUCCUCAAGCUGGCCACCGACGUCAUCGGGCAGGCGGCGUUCGGCGUCGACUUCGGCCUCACGGUGACGAGCGGCGGCGGCGAGGCCGCGGAGUUCGUCAGGGAGCACGUCCACUCCACCACCACCCUCAGGAUGGGCCUGUCCGCGCCGCUCUCCGUCGUGCCGGCGCUGCAGGGGCCGGCGCGGCGCCUGCUGCUCCGCGUCCCGGGGACGACCGACCGGAGGGUCGCCCGGACCAACGAGCGUCUGCGCGCGCGCGUCGACGAGAUAGUGCCGGCGCGCCACCGUGAACGCGGCCGCGACGGCGACGGCGUGGGGGCGAGGAGGGACUUCCUGUCGGCGGUGCUCGACGCGCGAGACCGCAGCGCGGCGCCUGACGCCGGAGCACGUGAGCGCGCUCACCUACGAGCACCUCCUCGCCGGGUCGGCCACGACGGCGUUCACGCUGUCCUCCGCCCUGUACCUCGUCGCCGGCCACCCGGAGGUCGAGGCCAAGCUGCUCGCGGAGGUCGAUGCGUUCGGGCCGCCUGGCUCCGUGCCCACCGCCGACGACCUGCAGUACCGGUUCCCCUACCUUGAUCAGGUGAUAAAGGAGGCGAUGAGAUUUUACACCGUCUCGCCACUGAUCGCCAGGGUGACGUCACAACAGGUAGAGCUCUCAGGCUGCAAGCUCCCAAAGGGCACGUGGCUGUGGAUGGCGCCGGGCGCCCUGGCGCGCGACGCCGCCAGCUUCCCGGACCCCGGCGCGUUCCGGCCGGAGCGGUUCGACCCGGCGAGCGAGGAGCAGCGGCGGUGGCACCCGUGCGCGCACAUCCCCUUCGGCGUCGGCCCCGGGCGUGCGUCGGGCAGCGGUUCGCGCUGCAGGAGGUGAAGCUGUCCGUGGUGCACCUGUACCAGCGCUUCGUCUUCCGGCGGUCGCCGCGGAUGGAGUCGCCGCCCGAGCUCCAGUUCGGGAUCGUCCUCAGCUUCAGGCACGGCGUCAAGCUCGUCGCCGUCGAACGGCGUGUCGGCACCGCCUAGGCUCGUGCACUGAAUACUGACGAUGGGUGAUGGCAAGCCCCGGCCACGGCCUGGCAGCCUGGAGCUUCCGUGCUUGGAGUUAGGCAGCCUGGCAGGCUAUCUAAGCACAAGAGGGCAGGGCGCCACGGCCUUGCCUCUCUUCUCGGGAGACGAAUUCACCUCCAUGGAUUUCCAACGCAAGCUCACAAGCAGCAUCCCACCAAAAACCUCAUCGGCAUUGCGCGGAUGGUAAUUUAGUCUGUGCGAACCAGUUAAUUAACCAAGCACCUCGUGCGCAUGAGUGGAACAAAGGGGACGCAAACAGACAUGACCAGCAAGGAGCAUUUCACCAAACACCCCGAGCGUGCAGGGAGACAGGGAUUGGACUGGGCAGGACGAAUGCUCACAAGUCACAACCACAAGCAUUUCAUCAAACAGCAUCACACCAAAAACUUCAUCAGCAUCACACCUCGCGCGCACGAGUGGAACAAAGGGCACGCAAACAGACAUAGACCAGCAAGCAUUUCACCGAACACCCCGCGUGCAGGGAGCCAGGGAUUGGACUGGGCAAAACGCAUGCUCACAAGCAAUUCAUCAAACAGCUCGCAUGAGCGAACCAGGGCAACAGUUUGGCUCCCAAAAACACAUGCUCAUCAACAUCCAUUAAUUCGGCAUCGCGAAGACCACGCGGUUCAUCUUCCAGACACGAUCAACAAAGACGGCGAGCACUACGGUUCUACUCCAAAAUCUAGAUAGGUUUGAGUUGACAGAUACUACUACUCCCUAGAUAGUACUACCGAUCCGAUCCAAACAACGAGGGCAGAAACACUGGUGCGCGAGUGUGAGUGGUGAGAUCUCCCCGAUCAGGCGGCGGCGCGGUACAAGGCGUAGAGCAUCGUGGCGUACGCGCCGCCCAGGAAGGCGAAGCCCAUCUUGACGCCCUCCUUCAGGUAGAUGGCGGCGACGACCUCCGCCUCCGCCCUCGCGCGCAGGAAGGCGAGCGCCUCCUCCGCCUCCCUGGCCGCGCGGCGCAUCUGGGCGCGCACCUCCUGCUGGACCAGCAGCGCGAUCCGCUCCCUCUCGGCCUCGGUGGCGACGCCGCGGCGGCCGGCGGCGCUCGCCGCGCGGCGGGAGGCUUGGCGCAGCGCAGACUGCAUCUCUCUCUCUCUCUCUCUCUCUCGCUCGCUCGCUCGCUCGCUGGCUCUCUGGUGGAAUGUUUUUUCAGUUGCGGGCCUGGGAGGACUGGCACCGGCACCCGCUGGCAGACAUAGGAAUCUGAUGGGGGGGAGGUGCCGUGGCUUCCACGUUUGCUAGACGCUCGAUCAGAGCCGUUGGAUUCGUCGAGAUGGACCGCUGCGAUGCGCCGGGGAGUUGGGCGCUUGUGGCCGGGGAUCCAUUUCUGAUUCGAGGAUUGGGGUAAUUCACCACCUUCUCGGUCCUCACAUUUUUAUUUGGGUUUAGAAUUGAUCCCUUUGUUCGCCCAAAUGCCACCUCACCGUUGAAAUGAGAGAAACAUUUGAGAAUCGGCCUCCUCACAACUGGUUUGUUACUAGUUACCCGCAAAAAAAAGGAAGGUUAGAGUUACAGUCCGGAACAAGGAUAAUGUGUGCAAAAGGCUAUUUUUCUAAUUUCUUCAUUGAUUUAUAGAAGUGAAGUAGUUUUCUGAAAUCGAAAGGUAAAUUGAACAAAUUAAAUACAUGAUAUAAAAUUUUGGGAAAAUAUAAGUAAUUUAAAUCAAGUGUUCUGUCACGAAACCUUUCUUCAAAGUUUGAUAUUUUACACAUACGAGCAAUACUUCACUAGAAUUUGGCAUUCUUAUUAAUAUGUGGCAUGCUAUAAGAAAUUAAACUAAUUUUUAUCCUUUUAAAUUGAACAAAAGUAGAAGAUCGCAUAAAAAAUAGAUUAUAGAUCAAUGUAAUGAAAAAUUACUUAAGGAACAAACCUAACUAUCAUUCUUAUUAUUAUACAUGUUUCUUGAAAAAAUAUAUGAUCAUCUUGAUGUAGUGGCGAAUCCAGAUGUCAAUGUUACGGUGGUCAAAUGCAAACAUAAUUCUUUUUUUAAGGCUGAAAAUACAGUCAAUUUCUUUCAAAAAAA